rnacentral:tRNA from 1 species
GAUUCCGGUUGUCGUGGGUUCAAGUCCCAUUAGCCACCCCAAUCGGCGAGUAGCGCAGCUUGGUAGCGCAACUGGUU